GACGAACCGAGCGAACGUUGUUCGGAAUCACUGGGCUUAAAGGGCGCGUAGGCGGGUGCUCAAGUCUGUGGUGAAAUCCUCCAGCUUAACUGGAGAACUGCCAUGGAUACUGGGUGUCUCGGGGAAGAUAGGGGUAUGCGGAACGAUUGGUGGAGCGGUGAAAUGCGUUGAUAUCAAUCGGAACUCCGGUGGCGAAGGCGGCAUACUGGAUCUUAUCUGACGCUGAGGCGCGAAAGCUAGGGGAGC
rnacentral:rRNA from 1 species